GACGAACGCUGGCGGCGUGCUUAACNCAUGCAAGUCGAACGCUGAAGACCUGGCUUUUGUUGGGUUGGAUGAUUGCCGAACGGGUGAGUAACACCUGAGUANNCUGCCCCCUUCUUUGGGAUAACGCCCGGAAACGGGUGCUAAUACUGGAUAUUCACUGGCCUUCCCAUGGGGGUUGGUGGAAAGGUUUGUNCUGGUGGGGGAUGGGCUCGCGGCCUAUCAGCUUGNUGGUGGGGUGAUGGCCUACCUNGGCUUUGACCGGCAGCC
rnacentral:rRNA from 1 species